CCUACGGGAGGCAGCAGUAGGGAAUAUUGCUCAAUGGGGGAAACCCUGAAGCAGCAACGCCGCGUGGAGGAUGAAGGUUUUCGGAUUGUUAACCUCUUUUGUUAGAGAAGAUAAUGCAGGUAUCUAACGAAUAAGCACCGGCCAACUCCGUGCCAGCAGCCGCGGUAAUACGGCGGGUGCAAGCGUUACUCGGAAUCACUGGGCGUAAAGAGCGCGUAGGCGGGUUAGCAAGUCAGAGGUGAAAUCCUAUGGCUUAACCAUAGAACUGCAUUUGAAACUGGUAUUCUAGAGUAUGGGAGAGGUAGGUGGAAUUCUUGGUGUAGGGGUAAAAUCCGUAGAGAUCAAGAGGAAUACUCAUUGCGAAGGCGACCUGCUAGAACAUAACUGACGCUGAUGCGCGAAAGCGUGGGGAGCAAACAGGAUUAGAUACCCGAGUAGUC
rnacentral:rRNA from 1 species